CUCUCCUGGACAUCCUCAAAUUCCAGAGGCUCCUGUUUGGCUAACACAACAUGGUCCUGAGUGUUUUCAUUUUCAAUAUUCUGUGUCG